rnacentral:rRNA from 1 species
CUCCUACGGGAGGCAGCAGUGGGGAAUAUUGCACAAUGGGGGAAACCCUGAUGCAGCGGCGCCGCGUGAGUGAAGAAGUACCCCGGUACGUAAAGCUCUAUCCGCAGGGAAGAAAAUGACGGUACCUGACCAAGAAGCCCCGGCUAACUACGUGCCAGCAGCCGCGGUAAUACGGGGGAUGCGAGCGUUAUCCGGAUUUAUUGGGUUUAAAGGGUGCGUAGGCGGCGCUUCAGGUCAGCGGUGAAAUACCGGGGCUCAACCCCGGGGCUGCCGUUGAAACCGGAGCGCUAGAAUUCCGAUGCCGU